AUAUCUAUACUUAGUCUAGUACAAUUUGAAGCCAAUAUAAUAAACAUCUUUAUGAUUUCUGCUUCAUACCUGUAACCUUCAUUCUUGCCAGCAUGUAAUUACGAAAUCAUUGAUAGCCCUCAAGACCAUAACCACGUACAUAAUUGGUCCUUGAAAUGGCUUGAAUUUGACAGUACUAGAUUAGGUGUUCCUAUAAUGUUAGACCACCGCCUUAACAACCCAGACGAGGCAAUGAGUGACGUGGCACAGUGGUGGUGCUGGUGGUGGUGGUGGGUACUGUCUCGGUGUCUCGGGUCAGAGGUGAACCCUGAACCCGGUGAAGCCAAACAGAGGCCAUUUCCAUCCUGCGUGGAGUGCAGGCUCCUCACUCUACUUUCGUCCUUUGCCCAGAAUGUAGACAUGAAAUGCGUGGUGGCCGAGAUGAUUGGAGCAGGAGACAGGAUUGAAAAAUCCCCUGUGCGCACACCCAUGGCUGCAUGGUGUUUUGUGACCAGCUCACGAAGGGUUGGGAGCAGCAUCUGCCACUGCCACAACCCCGCGCUGAGAAGGGCAGCGGCCACAGGAAAGCUUGUGGAAGCCUUCAGCCUUAAACAUCUCCACCUCGCUCUCCGUCCACACAGACACACACCUGUAACAAAAUGUGUCAGACUGGGCUGGCCACUGGUUGUGGUAAACAAGCUUCAGUGUUGUAAGAGUUCAGAGGACUCCCAAUUAUAUUUUAUUUAUUUUUUUAAUAAAUGUUCUAGCUGAAAAAUAA